AUGAGGGGGUGUGGCCUUGUUGGAGGAAGUGUGUCACUGUGGAGGCGGGGUUUGAGGGCUCAUGCUUUACCUGGGCCCAGUGUAACAGUCUCCUGCUGCUUGCAGAUGGAGGUGUGGAACUCUCAGCUCUUUCUCCAGCACCGUGUCUGCCUGCACACUGACAUGCUCCCUGCCAUGACGAUAACGGACUAAAUCUCUGAAACUUCACCAGGACGAUGACAGAAAGUGCUGCAUAAGCUUCCAGAUGUCGGCCACAAACUUCUCAUAUACUGGCGUCUGAAGAGUGGGGCCACCAAUUCAAAGAAAAUACAGAGAGUUUGACAGAACAGUUGGAUACAACAGGGAGAGAAGCUUGACCGGGAGGGAAGGCUAUUUAUGGAGAAAGAAGCAACAAGUUUCACUAAACCCAGUACCAGUGGUGGCUCUGGUGGCGCCUGGCACGGAUGGUCUCUUACUGAUGGCUGCACUCUUACAGAACAGCCUCUCGGCCAUGAAAGAGGACAGCAGGAGGAUUCUCAGAAAAGCCUCGUGGAGCACUUCCGUUCCUGCAUCGUGGGCUCUACUGUUUAAAAGCCCUGAAAAAUGCCCACUUAAUUUUUGACAAAGGAGGCAAAAAUAUAGUCUCGGGGGGAAAAAAGAUAGCCCAUUUAACAAAUGAUGCUAAGAAAACUGGAUUUCUCAUCUGCAGAAAGUGAAAUGAGCUUUGUAACUUUCACCAUGUAUAAGAUCAACUUAAAACGGAUCACAAACCUUAAUUUUAAACCCCAAGCCUUGAAACUUUUAGAAGAAAACACGAGGCAUUGGCAUAGGCGAAGCAUGUUCCACUGGAACGCCAGCAGGACAAGGGCUAGGCCCAGCACCAACAAGUGGACUACAUGAAAAGAACUCCUCUGUACGGCAAAGGAAACAAUGGGCCCACACUAACAGAAGGGCGGUGGGGCUUUACCAGCUACGUUCAGGUCAGGAGCAAACAGCCAAGUUAGAAACAACUGCGGAAAUCAAAUACCAAGGGGAUAACACUAUCAGCAAUAAAUGAGCCACGAGCCGAAUACACAGCUUUCACACAAAAAAAUAGCCUGGCCCACUAUCGCCAGGGUCAUGCAAAUUAAAAUUGCUUUGACAUAGUAUCUUACCCCGGUUAGAAUGGCCAUCAUUAAGAACUCAGUAAAAAAGGGCGUGGAGAGAAGAGGACCCUAUGCACUGUUGGCAGGGUGCAAAUCAAUACAGACACUAUGGAAAUCAGUCUGGACACUUAUCAAAAACAUAAAGAACAGAACUACCAUAUGACUCCGCUAUUUCACUCCUGGGUAUGUACCCAGAGAAUCUCCAUUCCCUACUACAGAGAUAUUUAUACCCCAUUUUUAUUAUUUAUUCACUAUAGCAAAGAAUUGGACCUAUUUGUCCACAAACAGAUAAAUGCAUAAUGAAAAAUUGGUAAUAUAUCAUAUAUAUGUGUAUGUAUGUGUAUAUAUAUAUAUAUAUAUAAUGUAUAUAUAUAUGUAAUGGAAUAUUACUCAGCACUAAAAAAGUUUAAAAGAUUCA